GAGUUGAAUGCAAUGCAAAUCCUGCAAAUUCACCAACCUCAAAGAAGCUGUUCUCCUGAAGCACUAGGCCUACUGUCUGUAUCACAGAGGCAGGCAGAGUUCUAUCGGAUCACCAACAAGAACCUACUAGACAACUUUAGAGCAGCCAUUAAUCUGGACACUCCAGGACUGCUUAGACUCUAUCGGGCUAGGAGGCCAGCUAUUCCGUCUGAGAUGGAUCAACUCCUUAAGGGACUGGAUGAAGAGACCAAUGACAUCACAGCACACACAGGCUGCAGCCUUGAAGGGCCUUCCUUUGUAUAUCUGUGAAAGUCACGAGAAGCUGUACAGGAGUUGUCUGGAUACUGACCCAGAAGAGGAGCAGACAAAGCCUCAUUGUGGGGAUACUUACUAUGGAGGAUGAUCAAAGUACGGCUCCGGCAAGUUGCAAAUGUAGCUGUGGUUCUAGAAGAAGACAUCGUCUUACAAGACCUCCCUGACCUGCUAACGGCCUUUGUUUUGCUCUUUGGGCUGAUAUGCCUCAAACAUUUAGUUUCCCAAGGAACUGAGGUACACCUUCGAAACAUUUCAGAAGUUGUUAACUAAUCUAACCUUGCUGUCCUUACUAAGUAUAUAAGUAAAAAAAUUAGAAUAUGUUAUCUGACAUCCACAACUACUACUGUUCAGUAGGGGUGCACGAUUCAGAAAAUGUCACAAUUCAAUAUCGAUUUUCAUAGGGCU